GGGUGGAGUUGAACUGCGAACCCCGAGAAUUCAACUGGUGAGUGUGGUAUGAGCUUGGCAUAAUGGUUGGCUUUGCGGGUCUGCUUAGCUGCAGGUCUUCACCUCUUGGUGGAGAUGCGCGAUACACUUGUCAAGUGGUGCGCGCUCGUUGAGUUACUCGGACAUGCUUGCCAGUGCACUUUCUCGGGGUGUUCACCACGACCGGCGCCGCUACUUGUCUAAUAUGGUUAAACCGGUCUUGCUUGGUCCUUGUGGCUUUGCUUGAUCGGGAUGGCAGGUAACUCGUUAACUUGUGUGUUGGCUUCGGUUGACAUGCGCUUGGUUUUCGAGUGUAAUCAGCUGACUGUAUUGGUGCUAUGUAGUGCGUCGGAGACGGCGGCUUGUGGUGUGUGCCUGCGUGCCUAUUUGCUGACGGAACCGGGUUUGGUUAUUUUGUUGCCUGUUCUGCAGGCCUGGUGAUGGCCCGGUUUCGCUUGGUGGAUGGGGGCGUGUGUGACACUUAUCAGGGCCUAUAGUCUGUGGUGUUGUGGUAGACUAUCCACCUGACCCGUCU
rnacentral:rRNA from 1 species